rfam:Gordonia terrae NBRC 100016 DNA, contig: GOTRE077.
AUCGGUCCUCGGUAGUGGCCGCCGGAAACCUCGCCCGGGCAAUCCCCGGGCGCGCAGGAUUCCGGCCGCUUCGAUCGAAGGCCGUC